UUCAGCCACCUGGGAAGCAAAGAUUUCUGCUGAAGCACCGAGCAAUCUUCCCUUAAUGCCUGGGUGAGGAGUGUCUUUGUCCUGUUGCAGCUGGAACCUUAAUGCCCAGCAGUCGCGGAGUGUCUGUGGGAGGGAUGACUGUCGGCCACACCCUGAUCCAGAGCAAUUUGCCAAGAGUGUCCCUGGCCCCUCGUCCUGGAAAAAAUGUCUCGCCAUCUUCCCUCAAGGAUUCUUUGGACUUCAAAGAAGACUAUGAGUAGCUGGCAGGAGGAACAGGCCCCAGAUGGAAAUGUUAUCAGCACCCACGUGUGCAUACCUCUGGAAAUGUUCACAUUUUAAAAUUGCAGAGUUAGCAUGCUCUGGUCACCUGUAGGGGCCCUCUUUGAGGUAUAUAGUUUAACUAUUAAUUCUAUACUUCAAAGAACAUGUAGUUCACGAAUGCAGCUGCAGGGCAUUUAAAAUAUUAUUCCCACCACUGUGGUCACCUCUAGUUUUGUCUUUUAAAUAACAAAAAUCAAAUGUAGAACUGUAGUUGUGAGUAGCUAGGGCAGUAGAAUUUCUAGAACAGAAGGCCAUCUAAGUUACCUUUCUUUUAGAGACAGCCUUCCUCUGGCUUUUAAAUGAUAUUUGUAAGGUUUGACUUGGCUGUCAUUCAGGGAAGUGUUCAUGUUUAUGAGGAAAAGACGAUAUAUAACCAUCAAUACCUCUGAUGGAUAGAAAAUGUGGAAGAAGGUAUAUUAUAGUUUCACCUUAACAUAUGAGUUUCACUGGUGGGAGGAAAUGAAAGGUCAAGCUUUUAAAUAUUCUUUGUGUUGUUUUUGCUAAUAAUUUUCUCUCCAUUUAUAUUUCACUUGUUCCCCAAAUGACAGUUAAUAAAGACAGAGCAACAAUUUUUUAAAAAAAUAUU
ensembl:lncRNA